rnacentral:rRNA from 1 species
UACAGAGGGUGCGAGCGUUGUUCGGAAUUAUUGGGCGUAAAGCGCUUGUAGGCGGCUUGUUAAGUUCCGUGUGAAAUCCCCAGGCUUAACCUGGGAAGUGCGCGGAAAACUGGCGAGCUUGAGUGCCCGGAGAGGGUCGCGGAAUUCCCGGUGUAGAGGUGAAAUUCGUAGAUAUCAGGAGGAACACCAGUGGCGAAGGCGGCGACCUGGACGGACACUGACGCUGAGACGCGAAAGCGUGGGGAGCAAACAGG